UUCUCGUCUGGUGGUUCUUGGAUCCAUCACCAGCUGGAGCCACAAGACAGAGGAAGAAGGUGGAGGACGGACUAAGUGUACCACGAUCUGACAGCCCCGAAAAUAUCGGCCUGAGGCAUCGGAAGCUUCAAGGAACAACAACACAUCUCCAUGGCAAGCUCAGACUCGACCGUACAGACCCGUCCGGUCUCGUCUACGACUCCGUUAACUGAGAAACGCCGCCGACCCGCGGGAGGCACUUUCCCCAUCAAUGCCUAAAGUGGACCUGAACCUUUGGACCUGAUGUGAACUAGAAUGAAGCUGGCUGGACCUCAAGUACUCUGUGGAAGCUUCAAGGACCAACAACACAUCUCGGUAUGACAAGUUGAGACUCGACCGUACAGACCCGUCCGGUCUCGCAUACGACGCCGUUAACGGCAAACGGAGAAACGACGCCGCUGACCCGCGGGAGGUACUUUCUCCAUCACUGCCAAAAGUGGACCUGAAAUUUUGGACCUGAUGUGAACUAGAAUGAAGUUGGCUGGAUAUAAAGUUAACUGGACCUGCAGCGAAGUGGACCUGAAGCUAACUGGACCUCAAGUAGUCUGUGGAAGCUUUAAGGACCAACAACACAUCUCGGUACGACAAGUCGAGACUCGACCGUACAGACCCGUCCCGUCUCGCACACGACGCCGUUAACGGCAAACGGAGAAACGCCGCUGGGAGGCACUUUCUCCAACACUGCCUACAGUGGACCUGAUGUGAACUAGAAUGAAGUUGGCUGGACAUGAAAUUUACUGGACCUCAAGUAGUCUGUGGAAGCUUUAAGGACCAACAACACAUCUCGGUACGACAAGUGGAGACUCGACCGUACAGACCCGUCCGGUCUCGCACACGACGCCGUUAACGGCAAACGGAGAAACGCCGCCGCCGCCGACCCGCGGGAGGUACUUUCUCCAUCACUGCCUAAAGUGGACCUGAUGUGAACUAGAAUGAAGUUGGCUGGACCUGCAGUGAAGUGGACCUGAAGCUAACUGGACCUCAAGUAGUCUGUGGAAGCUUCAAGGACCAACAACACACCUCGGUACGACAAGUCGAGACUCGACCGUACAGACCCGUCCGGUCUCGCACACGACGCCGUUAACGGCAAACGGAGAAACGCCGCUGGGAGGUAAUACCGACGUCGUCACUUCACGUCGUGUCAUUGGGCGUACGAGCCGAGUGUAUUAGAGUACAGGUUGUACCUCUCUAGUCCGGCAUUCUGUGAUCCGGAACGAUUUUAGUUUGUCCAAUAGGUAGAUAGGCAGCUUUUUUUUUUUUUU